ensembl:snRNA U6 U6 spliceosomal RNA
GUGCUCACUUCGGCAGCACAUAUACUAAAAUUGGAACACUAUACAGAUUAGCACGGCCCCUGUGCAAGGAUGACGUGCAAAUUCGUGAAGCAUUCCAUAUUUUU